GCGGGCGUAGCUCAGAGGUAGAGCACAACCUUGCCAAGGUUGGGGUCGAGGGUUCGAAUCCCUUCGCCCGCUCCA
rnacentral:tRNA from 2 species